CUUGCUGGAUGCUGACGAGCGGCGGACGGGUGAGUAAUGCAUAGGAAUCUGCCCGAUAGUGGGGGAUAACCUGGGGAAACCCAGGCUAAUACCGCAUACGUCCUACGGGAGAAAGGGGGCUCCGGCUCCCGCUAUGGGAUGAGCCUAUGUCGGAUUAGCUAGUUGGUGAGGUAACGGCUCACCAAGGCCACGAUCCGUAGCUGGUCUGAGAGGAUGAUCAGCCACAUCGGGACUGAGACACGGCCCGAACUCCUACGGGAGGCAGCAGUGGGGAAUAUUGGACAAUGGGGGAAACCCUGAUCCAGC
rnacentral:rRNA from 1 species